UACAGAGGGUGCAAGCGUUAAUCGGAAUUACUGGGCGUAAAGCGUGCGUAGACGGUUGCGUAAGUCAGAUGUGAAAGCCCCGGGCUCAACCUGGGAAUUGCAUUUGAGACUGCGUAGCUAGGGUGCGGAAGAGGGAAGCGGAAUUUCCGGUGUAGCGGUGAAAUGCGUAGAUAUCGAAAGGAACACCAGUGGCGAAAGCGGCUUCCUGGUCCAGCACCGACGUUCAGGCACGAAAGCGUGGGGAGCAAACAGG
rnacentral:rRNA from 1 species